UGGGGAAUAUUGCACAAUGGGCGAAAGCCUGAUGCAGCAACGCCGCGUGAGUGAUGAAGGUCUUCGGAUUGUAAAGCUCUGUCUUUUGGGACGAUAAUGACGGUACCAAAGGAGGAAGCCACGGCUAACUACGUGCCAGCAGCCGCGGUAAUACGUAGGUGGCGAGCGUUGUCCGGAUUUACUGGGCGUAAAGGGUGCGUAGGCGGAUGUUUAAGUGAGAUGUGAAAUACCCGGGCUUAACUUGGGUGCUGCAUUUCAAACUGGAUAUCUAGAGUGCAGGAGAGGAGAAUGGAAUUCCUAGUGUAGCGGUGAAAUGCGUAGAGAUUAGGAAGAACACCAGUGGCGAAGGCGAUUCUCUGGACUGUAACUGACGCUGAGGCACGAAAGCGUGGGUAGCAAACAGGAUUAGAUACCCUGGUAGUCCACGUCGUAAACGAUGAGUACUAGGUGUAGGAGGUAUCGACCCCUUCUGUGCCGCAGUAAACACAUUAAGUACUCCGCCUGGGAAGUACGAUCGCAA
rnacentral:rRNA from 1 species